rnacentral:tRNA from 1 species
GGCCGGUUAGCUCAGUCAGUUGAGCGUGGUGUUGAUAACACAAAGGUCGCGGGUUUGAUUCCCGUUCAGUCCC